rnacentral:rRNA from 1 species
GACGAACGCUGGCGGCGUGCCUAAUACAUGCAAGUAGAACGCUGAAGAGAGGAGCUUGCUCUUCUUGGAUGAGUUGCGAACGGGUGAGUAACGCGUAGGUAACCUGCCUUGUAGCGGGGGAUAACUAUUGGAAACGAUAGCUAAUACCGCAUAACAAUGGAUGACACAUGUCAUUUAUUUGAAAGGGGCAAUUGCUCCACUACAAGAUGGACCUGCGUUGUAUUAGCUAGUAGGUGAGGUAAUGGCUCACCUAGGCGACGAUACAUAGCCGACCUGAGAGGGUGAUCGGCCACACUGGGACUGAGACACGGCCCAGACUCCUACGGGAGGCAGCAGGAGGGAAUCUUCGGCAAUGGGGGCAACCCUGACCGAGCAACGCCGCGUGAGUGAAGAAGGUUUUCGGAUCGUAAAGCUCUGUUGUAAGUCAAGAACGGGUGUGAGAGUGGAAAGUUCACACUGUGACGGUAGCUUAACAGAAAGGGACGGCUAACUACGUG